CCCAAAAAACCCAUACAACUCUGUUCCGCAGAGUAGCUGUUGACAUUAUAGUUGCACAGGCACUUUGUUGACUCUAGAGAACCUCGAACCAAUCGCACAUCCCCAUGACGGCGACUUUGCAUUUGGAUGUCAUCCAUAUCAACUUUCGAUUGCCAGUUUCUGCACCUACCAUGGUGACCAGGGUAACGGGGAAAUCAGGGUUCCAUUCCUUACAGGGACCCUGAGAAACGGCUACCACAUGCAAGGAAGGCAGCAGGCGUGCAAAUGACCCACUCCCGGCGCGGGAAGGUAGUGACG